CCAAUUGCGUAUAUUAAAGUUGUUGCAGUUAAAAAGCUCGUAGUUGAACUUCGGGAUUGACCCAUCGGUCGUGCCUUAAGGGGUAUGAACUGGUGUAGUCAAUUUCUCACCUUCUGGAGAACCGUGAUGUCCUUAAUUGGGUGCCACGAGGAACCAGGACCUUUACUUUGAAAAAAUUAGAGUGUUUAAAGCAGGCAUUUUUGCUUGAAUACAUUAGCAUGGAAUAAUAAAAUAGGACGGCAUGAUUCUAUUUUGUUGGUUUCUAGGAUCACCGUAAUGGUUAAUAGGGAUAGUUGGGGGCAUUAGUAUUCAAUUGUCAGAGGUGAAAUUCUUGGAUUUAUUGAAGACUAACUAACUGCGAAAGCAUUUGCCAAGGAUGUUUUUCAUUUAAAUCUAAAGAACGAAAGUUAGGGGAU
rnacentral:rRNA from 1 species